rnacentral:rRNA from 1 species
AGAGUUUGAUCAUGGCUCAGGAUGAACGCUGGCGGCGUGCUUAACACAUGCAAGUCGAACGAACCUUCGGGUUAGUGGCGGACGGGUGAGUAACGCGUGAGAAUCUGCCCUCAGGAGGGGGAUAACGGCUGGAAACGGCCGCUAAUACCCCAUAGGCCGCGAGGUGAAAUGAGAAAUCGCCUGAGGAUGAGCUCGCGUCUGAUUAGCUAGUUGGUGGGGUAAGAGCCUACCAAGGCGACGAUCAGUAGCUGGUCUGAGAGGAUGAUCAGCCACACUGGGACUGAGACACGGCCCAGACUCCUACGGGAGGCAGCAGUGGGGAAUUUUCCGCAAUGGGCGCAAGCCUGACGGAGCAACGCCGCGUGAGGGAUGAAGGCCUCUGGGCUGUAAACCUCUUUUCUCAAGGAAGAAGACCUGACGGUACUUGAGGAAUAAGCCACGGCUAAUUCCGUGCCAGCAGCCGCGGUAAUACGGGAGUGGCAAGCGUUAUCCGGAAUUAUUGGGCGUAAAGCGUCCGCAGGCGGCUUGGUAAGUCUGUCGUUAAAGCGUGGAGCUUAACUCCAUUUGAGCGAUGGAAACUGCCAGGCUUGAGUGUGGUAGGGGCAGAGGGAAUUCCCGGUGUAGCGGUGAAAUGCGUAGAUAUCGGGAAGAACACCAGUGGCGAAGGCGCUCUGCUGGGCCAUAACUGACGCUCAUGGACGAAAGCCAGGGGAGCGAAAGGGAUUAGAUACCCCUGUAGUCCUGGCCGUAAACGAUGAACACUAGGUGUCGGGGGAAUCGACCCCCUCGGUGUCGUAGCCAACGCGUUAAGUGUUCCGCCUGGGGAGUACGCACGCAAGUGUGAAACUCAAAGGAAUUGACGGGGGCCCGCACAAGCGGUGGAGUAUGUGGUUUAAUUCGAUGCAACGCGAAGAACCUUACCAGGGUUUGACAUCCUGCGAAUCCCUUGGAAACGGGGGAGUGCCUUCGGGAGCGCAGAGACAGGUGGUGCAUGGCUGUCGUCAGCUCGUGUCGUGAGAUGUUGGGUUAAGUCCCGCAACGAGCGCAACCCACGUCGUUAGUUGCCAGCAUUGAGUUGGGCACUCUAGCGAGACCGCCGGUGAUAAACCGGAGGAAGGUGUGGAUGACGUCAAGUCAUCAUGCCCCUUACAUCCUGGGCUACACACGUACUACAAUGCUACGGACAAAGGGCAGCAAGCUCGCGAGAGUUAGCAAAUCCCAUAAACCGUGGCUCAGUUCAGAUCGUAGGCUGCAACUCGCCUACGUGAAGGAGGAAUCGCUAGUAAUCGCAGGUCAGCAUACUGCGGUGAAUACGUUCCCGGGCCUUGUACACACCGCCCGUCACACCAUGGAAGUUGGCCACGCCCGAAGUCGUUACUCCAACCCUUGUGGAGGAGGACGCCGAAGGUGGGGCUGAUGACUGGGGUGAAGUCGUAACAAGGUAACC